rnacentral:rRNA from 1 species
CGAGGGGCCCCGCACAAGCAGCGGAGCGUGUGGUUUAAUUCGAUGUUACACGAAGAACCUUACCAACCCUUGACAUGGCAGUGACCGUCCCAGAGAUGGUUCUUUCUCGCAAGAGACACUGCACACAGGUGCUGCAUGGCUGUCGUCAGCUCGUGUCGUGAGAUGUUCGGUUAAGUCCGGCAACGAGCGCAACCCACGCCUUCAGUUGCCAUCAUUCAGUUGGGCACUCUGAAGGAACUGCCGGUGGUAAGCCGGAGGAAGGUGUGGAUGACGUCAAGUCCUCAUGGCCCUUACGGGUUGGGCUACACACGUGCUACAAUGGUGGUGACAAUGGGAUAAUCCCAAAAAGCCAUCUCAGUUCGGAUUGGGGUCUGCAACUCGACCCCAUGAAGUCGGAAUCGCUAGUAAUCGCGUAACAGCAUGACGCGGUGAAUACGUUCCCGGGCCUU